rnacentral:rRNA from 1 species
CAGACGGGUGAGUAACGCGUGGGAACAUACCCCUCGGUUCGGAAUAACUCAGGGAAACUUGAGCUAAUACCGGAUACGUCCGAGGUUUUAAUCGACCUUGGAGAAAGAUUUAUCGCCGGAGGAUUGGCCCGCGUCUGAUUAGCUUGUUGGUGAGGUAAUGGCUCACCAAGGCGACGAUCAGUAGCUGGUCUGAGAGGAUGAUCAGCCACAUUGGGACUGAGACACGGCCCAAACUCCUACGGGAGGCAGCAGUGGGGAAUAUUGGACAAUGGGCGAAAGCCUGAUCCAGCCAUGCCGCGUGAGUGAUGAAGGCCUUAGGGUUGUAAAGCUCUUUUACCCGGGAAGAUAAUGACGGUACCGGGAGAAUAAGCCCCGGCUAACUUCGUGCCAGCAGCCGCGGUAAUACGAAGGGGGCUAGCGUUGUUCGGAAUUACUGGGCGUAAAGCGCACGUAGGCGGAUCUUUAAGUCAGGGGUGAAAUCCCGAGGCUCAACCUCGGAACUGCCUUUGAUACUGGGGAUAUCGAGUCCGGGAGAGGUGAGUGGAACUGCGAGUGUAGAGGUGAAAUUCGUAGAUAUUCGCAAGAACACCAGUGGCGAAGGCGGCUCACUGGCCCGGUACUGACGCUGAGGUGCGAAAGCGUGGGGAGCAAACAGGAUUAGAUACCCUGGUAGUCCACGCCGUAAACGAUGGAUGCUAGCCGUUAGACAGCUUGCUGUUUAGUGGCGCAGUUAACGCGUUAAGCAUCCCGCCUGGGGAGUACGGUCGCAAGAUUAAAACUCAAAGGAAUUGACGGAAUCGAAUU